rnacentral:rRNA from 1 species
ACGAACGCUGGCGGCGCGCUUAACACAUGCAAGUCGAACGGAAAGGCCUGCUUUCCCUUGUGGAUUGCGGGUACUCGAGUGGCGAACGGGUGAGUAACACGUGAGUGAUCUGCCCCCAACUUGGGUAUAAGCCUGGGAAACUGGGUCUAAUUCCCGAUAGGACUGCAGGGUGGUGCCUGUGGUGGAAAACGAUUUUCUAGUGGUUGGGGAUGAGCUCGCGGCCUAUCAGCUUGUUGGUGGGGUAAUGGCCUACCAAGGCGGCGACGGGUAGCCGGCCUGAGAGGGUGGACGGCCACAUUGGGACUGAGAUACGGCCCAGACUCCUACGGGAGGCAGCAGUGGGGAAUAUUACACAAUGGGCGGAAGCCUGAUGCAGCGACGCCGCGUGGGGGAUGACGGCCUUCGGGUUGUAAACUCCUUUCGACCGCGAGGAAGCCACCUGGUUGGAAGGGUGGUGACGGUAGUGGUAGAAGAAGCACCGGCUAACUACGUG